rnacentral:lncRNA from 1 species
UCAAUUUAUAUCAACGGCACUAGUGAAAUGACAUCAAACAAGAUUGCAAAAGAAAAGCAGAAUAAGAAGCGUUUUAAAUUGCUUACAUAAGAUAGGUCAAGCACGAAUGAGCCCUAAGCCCAAAGACUUGCUCUCAUGUUUCAAACUUAAACUAUGACAAGGUUCAAGCAAAAGAUAUUUCUAGUCUCUCUUUGGAAUAAGAAUAACAAAUAUUACUGCUAUUAUUUUAUGCAUCCAAAACACAUUGUCACAGAUGCAUUUACCCCCCAAGACCACCAUAAGAUUCAUGCACUUUGUGCUGCUCCAGGAAUGUGUUCAAGUACCUGGUAGAAACAAAUCAUGCGGUAUCUGUGUUAGUCAAUGCAAGUGUAUAAACUACUAAAGCAAUUCUAAUAGUGCUAGGUUUCAGUUUCAAAAGCAACUCAACCAAUUUAGAUCCACCAUCGAACGCACAUGCUGAUACUCUUUGAUAUAGAACUCUUGUUUAAUGAUGCACUCCACUUAGCACUGGAAGCCACAUAUCGAGGUAAAGGUGCGUCUCUAGGUCUGUAUCAGAAGUAUAUAUUAUUUUACAGAAUGCCAAGUGGAUUUGGGUGAUUCUAGCCCUAGUACAUUACACUAAACUUAUACCAGGUGAAUGAAUAGAAGGAGAAAGCUACAUUACACUGGAAGCCACAUAUCGAGGUAAAGGUGGAUCUCUAGGUCUGUAUCAGAAAUAUAUAUUAUUUACAGAAUGCCAAGUGGAUUUGGGUGAUUCUAGCCCUAGUACAUUACACUAAACUUAGACCAGGUGAAUGAAUAGAAGGAAAAAGCUAUUUAGAGAAAAGGUGCUCAUGAAAAGCUGCUUGGUUUUUUUGGACAAUGAAUGAAAAGCUGCUUGAUUUCAGUCUGCAGUCCGCAAUAAUAAGGAAACAUGUGGACAGGAGGCUCAGUACAUGAUUAUGUUCCUGGAUUAAAUUGAAGUCUACUAGAAUCCUCUUGUUUAUGUUUUGCGCAAAACAAUGAAGUUUCUACUUAUUUAAAAACAAAAGAGCACAAGAGAGAGUUUCUUACGCCCCCGAGUUCUAAUUUAGGUCCACUAGUUUUUUCCUUAUCCAGUUUUACUCAAACUCUGGUUUGUAAGUUCUGUUUUUCCCUCUUCAAAUUGCUAUUUUCUAACAAUAUUAUGAAGUCUCAUGACUUCCUAGGCUCUUUGUUUUUCGCUUCUAAUUGCAACUUAUUCUAUUCAGGUUCAUUGAAGUAUUGUUAGUAUGUCUUAUACUCGCUAUAUGUGCAUGCCUCCAAUUCCAAGUUGACAGGUUUUAGGGACAUCCCUAGGAUCCGCAUAAUUAAAUUCAAGAAGAGAACAAGGAUGCUGACUUAUUAAAUAUGUUAUAUCUUUUGGUUAACCUUACAAUCCCUCUUGAGCCCAAAUAAGAUAAUUCCACAAAAUGUGAUUAGGUAAGCCCACAAAGCUAGUUGGAAUGAGACACUGUUUUCUGUCUGUUGUACAAAGGUGCCGCCUGUUGUAUAUAGGUGGCUUGGUAGCAAUAAGGGGUCUUGAAUUCCAAAUCUUGCUAUUUGGCGUUUCAUAGCUCAUCCUAGGUCUUAGUUAGAGAUUUUUAGUAAAUUGCAAUGGCGUCGACCAUCUACUUCUUUUAAACCACCACUCCCCAAUGCGAACCAACUCAGAACUUACCAACCCACACCUGGGCAUCUCCACCACCUAAAAAUGUUUAGUUAAAUUUGUAUUGGCUUAACAUAUAGCUUACUUGCUUGUCUAUAACAAAUAAAUGGCUACACAUUACACCAGAUUCAGUCAUAUCAUAAUCCCCUUGCGUAUAGUUGCAUUCCAAUCUUCCUAAUGCGACCAUAGUUGGUUCUUAAAUCUGAUUGAAUUUGAAUCAGACGAACCCUAGUGUGGGCACUAAAAGAAUUUCUCAAAUACAGGAAAUCUAAUACGUGAUCAAGAUCAUCUUCCAACUUGUCUAGCUACAACAGAAUUGGUCACCCCCGGCGGUGACUUCUUGUCCCCUCCCAACCUAGCUAAGUGCUUUUGAAUCUUAAUGCCCUUUGGAUUACUUCCUUGAUGCCUGCCUGAUUGCUUAUGCCAUUUGACUACCAAAGAUUUUACCAGUUAGGUUAACUGUUGAUAACUCCAUUAUGCUAUGUUACUAGUCCAUGGAAAACAAUUGAACUGCAGUCUUCCAUAACUUAUAGGUCACCUCUUAUACUACACUAUACACUUCGAUUGAACUGCUUAUGGAUUAUACUCUUGAUAAAAAGAAAUUGUCUUGAACCAUGAGGCAAUUUGUGUUAUCUCGUUACUACAAAAUGAAUAGGAAUAGAUCAGAAUAACUACUUAAAAAAUUUACACAGAUGUAGAAGUACUAGAAAAGAGCAGAAAAACAAAACUGUAUAGAACCUACUAGUUCCUUAAACAUCAAUGAUUAUGUUAGGCUUAAGUUGACUGAACAGCUUUGAACAUACAGAUUAAAUUUACAAUGCAGAAAACAGGUAUGAUAAGGUUCAGCAUAAGAAAGAAGAGUAAAAACACAAAGAAAACUGCAAAUCAUACAAAUAUGUGAAUAGCUCCCACAGAGAAAGUAACUCUUCAUUUCAUAUAAGGCCACUCAAACUCUGAAGAACCCAUCAUUUCUCCGUCGCAAUGCAAUUUUUCGCAUCAACAAUGCGGAAUUGCUAUCUUAAGAUAGUAUAUUACUAUUAUAUUACCAAUCAAAAGCCAUAAAAAAAGGUGGUGGAAUAUAAGAAACCUACAAUGCUGCAAAAUGCCCCGUUGGAGGUUUGGAAGCGCUGCUGACAUCACCCAUCUUUUCCAUUCCUCCCUAUAAAUCCCCAAUUCCUUCUUAUCAACCAAUUAUAAUAAACAAAACAAACAUUUAACUAGAACACACCUCAAUUCACCAAUCGAAAAGGCAAGCAAACAUUCUAGUUAUGCACAUAAACAUGUGAGAGAUUCUAAAACUGCUUUCCGAACAUAAUCAUUCUAUUUCUUCUAUCCUAAUAAACGGAAACAAGACUCACAAAGAGUUACUACUAGCGAUCCUGACAAGAACGUUGGAAGGUACCAUGAUACAGCUCGCAGCAAGCCCGCACGUUGACUGUCAAGUGAGAUGUUAAUCGAGUUCCUGCCACCAGCGGUAAAAGUGACUGUGUACACCCCAAUGCUCCAAAUGUCCUAAUCAGAAAUAACAAAUCAGAUUAAAACGUCUUGUGAUAAAACAAUUCUCCUUUAUUUUUCAUUUUUUGUGAUAAGGGUGAUGAAACAAAUAUAAAAUACAAUAUUGGAGCUACUUUAACAACAAAAACAAUAUGAAUCUUCUAUAUUCAUUCUGCUCUAUUUGGACCUGUGUAAUUCUAGUUUUAUUUUCUCACUCAGUAACACUAAUUAUUAUGCCUCAAUUAAUCGAGUUCCUGCCACCAGUGGCAAAAGUGACUGUGUACACCCCAAUGCUCCAAAUGUCCUAAUCAGAAAUAACAAAUCAGAUUAAAACGUCUUGUGAUAAAACAAUUCUCCUUUAUUUUUCAUUUUUUGUGAUAAGGGUGAUGAAACAAAUAUAAAAUACAAUAUUGGAGCUACUUUAACAACAAAAACAAUAUGAAUCUUCUAUAUUCAUUCUGCUCUAUUUGGACCUGUGUAAUUCUAGUUUUAUUUUCUCACUCAGUAACACUAAUUAUUAUGCCUCAAUCCCAAAUAAACAAGUUGGUAUUAAUUAACUAUACAAAUUCCAUAUAAUUUGUUCCCAAUUUGUUUCUCAUUUGCUUAUUCUCUAAAUCAAGCCCCGCAAUUACUGUUUCUCAAUCCCAAACUAGCUGGGAACAGAUACGUAAAUUCUAUAUAUCUAUUUAUAUCCAUUUCGUUGCAAUACGAAAUAAUUUUUAAAAAAAAAAGAGAUGGAGGACCUGGGAGUGGCGAAUGAGAAGCGGCGCGCGUGGGAACGAAGGGCGGAGAUCGGCGGAGUGCGGACGCGGUUAAGGGCGGGAGAUGAACGGGAGGUGGAAACCCUAGCGAGUGAUCUGGUAAUGGAACCACGCCAAGCCAUAGGUACUCAGAUUUUCUGUUUGAAUAUCCACACAAUCUUUGAGGGUUUAGAGGGUUUAGGGUUACACUAUGCAGCUGCUUAUGACCAGGAAAAUGGACGUGUAGUUGCUGAAAUUUUCAUUUGCAAAUAGUAGCCCCAAGUAAACCCCGUUAGUAUGAUUAUUUGCUAACUAACC